GAUGAACGCUGGCGGCGUGCCUAAUACAUGCAAGUCGAGCGAAUGGAUUAAGAGCUUGCUCUUAUGAAGUUAGCGGCGGGCGGGUGAGUAACACGUGGGUAACCUGCCCAUAAGACUAGGAUAACUCCGGGAAACCGGGGCUAAUACCGGAUAACAUUUUGAACCGCAUGGUUCGGAAUUGAAAGGCGGCUUAGGCUGUCACUUAUGGAUGUACCCGCGGCGCAUUAGCUAGUUGGUGAGGUAACGGCUCACCAAGGCAACGAUGCGUAGCCGACCUGAGAGGGUGAUCGGCCACACUGGGACUGAGACACGGCCCAGACUCCUACGGGAGGCAGCAGUAGGGAAUCUUCCGCAAUGGACGAAAGUCUGACGGAGCAACGCCGCGUGAGUGAUGAAGGCUUUCGGGUCGUAAAACUCUGUUGUUAGGGAAGAACAAGUGCUAGUUGAAUAAGCUGGCACCUUGACGGUACCUAACCAGAAAGCCACGGCUAACUACGUGCCAGCCGCCGCGGUAA
rnacentral:rRNA from 1 species